CCUUAGUUACCAGCACGUUAUGGUGGGCACUCUAAGGAGGACUGCCGGGUGACAAACCGGAGGAAGGUGGGGGAUGACGUCAAGUCAUCAUGGCCCUUACGGCCUGGGCUACACACGUGCUACAAUGGUCGGUACAAAGGGUUGCCAAGCCGCGAGGUGGAGCUAAUCCCAUAAAACCGAUCGUAGUCCGGAUCGCAGUCUGCAACUCGACUGCGUGAAGUCGGAAUCGCUAGUAAUCGUGAAUCAGAAUGUCACGGUGAAUACGUUCCCGGGCCUU
rnacentral:rRNA from 1 species